AGUGAACGCUGGCGGUAGGCCUAACACAUGCAAGUCGAACGGCAGCACAGUAAGAGCUUGCUCUUACGGGUGGCGAGUGGCGGACGGGUGAGGAAUACAUCGGAAUCUACUUUUUCGUGGGGGAUAACGUAGGGAAACUUACGCUAAUACCGCAUACGACCUACGGGUGAAAGCAGGGGAUCUUCGGACCUUGCGCGAUUGAAUGAGCCGAUGUCGGAUUGGCUAGUUGGCGGGGUAAAGGCCCACCAAGGCGACGAUCCGUAGCUGGUCUGAGAGGAUGAUCAGCCACACUGGAAAUGAGACACGGUCCAGACUCCUACGGGAGGCAGCAGUGGGGAAUAUUGGACAAUGGGCGCAAGCCUGAUCCAGCCAUACCGCGUGGGUGAAGAAGGCCUUCGGGUUGUAAAGACCUUUUGUUGGGAAAGAAAAGCAGCAGGUUAAUACCCCGCUGUUCUGACGGUACCCAAAGAAUAAGCACCGGCUAACUUCGUG
rnacentral:rRNA from 1 species